rnacentral:snRNA from 1 species
CAGUGGAUAAGCUCUUUUAGUAAUUUUCAAGCAGGAUUUCUGUAAAAGAAGUCCCCC